GGGAAAGUGGAAAUCCCCAUGAGGCUGUAAACUUCUGGGGUUUGACCAAAACCUAGAGACUAGCAUUGAAUCAGCGGCCUCAACACCAGUCACUCUGAAUUUAUUUACUAUAUACUAGAGCUCCUGUAACUGUAUUGUUCUUAGGAACAGUACAUAUCCAGUGGAAUGACGGUUUGCCCCCGAAGAAUGCAGCGAGAGAGAGAGGCUCUGAGAUACAGGCGUGGCGGCCAUCAAGCUGUCCGAUAGAAGCGAGUAUCGACCGCAUCAAUCAAGAUCUGAGAUACGUAGGACGAGUAGGAGAGGAAGUUCAUAAUAGGAAGUUGCGAUACAAAGCUCCUAGAACUGCUGGAUUGUAAAAAUUGCUCAACUCUUGGACGUUGUAUGCUUAUGUAAGGACCCUUUGCUUUAUGGUCAGUUAGGAUAUUUUUGCUCAAGUUUGUGAUCACCUUUGAAUUAUGCUAUCAAUUGUUUUGAAUGGUAUCUUAUGGGAAAGUGAUAGUUUGUGCUCUUGAAGAAAAUGCUAGAGCUUCCUACAAUUUGGACACUCUUUGAACUACAGAGCAGUUUGAGAAAGAACCAAUUCAGUCAUGCUAUGAAGUAGCUACACAUGUUACUGUCAUGAAUUUGUUAUUUGAUGGCCUACAUUGAUGAAAGCCAUGGAGCGGAGUCUAUGAAAAUAAAGAAAGAAAGAAGCCGUAGCUAAAGAUAGAGAAGCUGCAGCGGCUAAGGUGGAUGCUAACAAAAAGAACAGAAUUAUAAACUCAUCUAAGAGUGACGGCUCGAGCCGAGCCGGUCAUGGAUGAAAAGACGAUUUUGCCCCUGACUCAUCUCUGUUGCCCCGACACCUGUUUACCUGCUCAGAACUACGUGUCUUCUUUGCUCCACAGAGAGGUAUAGAGAGAGAGUCUCUAACCAAAGAAAUUGGUGCUUGAGUUCUGGUGCUUCGUGCUCAAGCUCAAAUCUUCCUUGCAUGGAUAAGCUCAGGGAUGAGCUUCCUUGAGAGAAUUGAGGUUGGGUACUUGCAUGUGAGGAUUCUCAGCAACAUUGGAAUGGUUUCAAGAAUCAUUCAAAUAUUGCGAGUUGUCAACAAUAUCCAGCCUGCCGGGCGUACUGAUAUUGGAAAACUGCCAUCUGAGAUACACAGACUUUAGAAAGCAGCUGUAUUUCUUGAUAACAACACAUUCUGCAUUUUCUCACCAACAUAUUUACUACCCUCCAGUGCAUAUCAAUGGUCAGGAAAAUGCAGAGGAGGAGGAUAUAUAUGGAUAACAAUGAUGAUCUUGCUGGAGAUGCCAUUGAAAGUGAUGACAAGGAGGAACAGGUACCAGCAGAACGGCCUCGCAAAACAUCAAAAUUUAUAGCAUCAGUGCCCCUGUGAUGGUUGAGUUGGAGGGUGAGACUGACCCACUUGAGAUUGCUAUGAAAGAGCUUUGUGAGCGGAAGAUACCCUUUACCAUUCGCCACUACCUGCCUGAUAGAAGCCCUGAUGACAGAUUGUAGCCAUCCAUCAAAAAGUUCUCACGCACCAAAGUUUGAUUUCGUGUGUAAUGAAAAUUAUGCUAUGUAAUGUUAUGAAAUCAAUGAUAUUCUUAUGUACACAAACGGUUACUUUUCUAAACAAUCUCCACCAAUAUAUAAUAAUAUUUUUCCCAUUACAUA